UGAAGAUAUACUUGUACAAAAUGAAAAAUCAUCACUCUGGGUAUGGUGCACCCCCCUUUUUUUUCGAUUUUUUUUUUUUUUUUUUUUUUCAAAAUUAUAAAAUUUGUUGAAAGAAAUGUGGUAUCUCAUUGUGUUUACUUGUGAACUAAGUAUUUUAAGAAUUUAAGCAUAACACAACUUCUAAAGUUGAGGGCAGCAUAUGUACCCCCUCCCUUCAAUCUUAUAUGUAAGAUUUCUCAGAAGUUUAAAAAAAAAAAUGGUAAUACGCAUAACCCGUUGUCGUGUCUAAGACUGAUGCUGUCAGUGAAAAAGAAUAAAGUUGAA
rnacentral:lncRNA from 1 species